rnacentral:lncRNA from 1 species
AAGCAACCCAGAGCCCUCCUCCCGCCUGCUCUGUGUAGGAGACAGCCUGCGGAGCCCACUGCCGGCGCGCAGAGAGCCCAGCAGCUCUUGAGUCCAGGAAGCAAGGGUGGGAGGAGGGACGAGCCAGUGGCAAUGACCCAGACCCGGACGACCCCCAUUGCUGAGCCAGCGGAGCUGCUUGGAGGCAGAGGUUGCAGUGAGCUGAGAUUUUGCGACUACACUCCAACCUGGGCAACAGAGCGGGACUCCAUUCCAAAAAAAUAAGAAAAACAGAAAAAUAAUAAUUACAUCUGCAAAGACCUUAUUUCCAGGCUCAAGCAGAGUCUUCCUCCUGGUGUUCCAGAAGGAGUUCAAGGUCCUGCUCCAUAUGGGACAGCUAGAUUCUGAGGGCAAUGUUGAGAUCCUCAUCUCCAGAAGGUGCUGGUGCCAGAAAUAUGACAAAAGGCUGAUUGACGGGCCAGUGAAUUGGAUUUCCCUGUGCAGCAGGCAAGAAGAAUCUGUUGGAUGAUUACAACAUUGCUGGAUUGAUAGCAGCCUCACCUGCCAGGCUCAAACUCCAGAUCCAAAGUCCACAAAUAUAUCAUAAAUCUGAAGAGGAACUGGGAGAAGCUUCUGCUGGCAGCUCAUGCCAUUGUUGCCAUUGAAAACCCUGCUGAUGUGUCAUAUCCUGCAGGAAUACUAGCUAGUGGGCUGUGCUGAAGUUUGCUGCUGCUGCUGGAGCCACAUGUAUUGCUGGUCACUUCACUUCUGGAACCUUUGCUAACCAGAUCCAAUCAUCUUCUGCCACCCACAUCUUCUGGUGGUUACUGAUUCUAGGGCUAACUAUCAGCCUCUCUCAGGGGCUUCUUAUGGUAACCUACCUACCUACCACUGCUGUAUGUAACAGAUUCUCCUCUGAGCUAUGUGGAUAUUGUCAUCCCAUGCAACAACAAGGAAGCUCAAUCACUGAGUCUAAUGUAGUGGAUGCUGGCCCAGGAAGCUCUGUGCAUGUGUUGCACCAUCUCCCAUGAUCAUGCCUGAUCUCUACUUCUAUAGAGAUCCUGAAGAGAUUGAAAAGGAAGAGUAGGCUGCAGCUGAAAAAGGAGGAAUUUCAAAGUGAAUGGACUGCUGUAGUGCAAGUUUACUGCUACUCAAUCUGAGGUUGCAGACUGGUUUAAAGACAUGCAGGUGCCCUCUGUGCCUAUUCAGCAGUUCCCUACUGAAGAUUGGAGCACUUAGCCUACCAUGAAUGACUGGUCUGCAACUUCCACUGCUCAGACCACUGAAUGGGUAAGAAUAACCACUGAGUGGCCUUAAGCUGUUCUUCCACAAGCUCUUAAACAAGAUGGAAAUAACGCUGAUGGAAAUAAACAACAGUUUCCAAGAAAACACGAACAGCUGAAGUGGCAAUGUUUAAGUAACAUCUGGUAGACUUUAACAUGAAUGUUAUUAAGCAGGAAAUUAUGAUCUUUUAAGUUGGAACAUGUAAUGUUAAUCCUUUUGCACCAAAAUAUCUCUUUAAGUCUAAAUUAUCCACUUUUUUUUUUAAUUCUUCGUAGAGAUAGAGGUUUCGCUUUGUUGCCCAGGCUGUUCUUGACUUCCUAACUUCAAGCAAUCCUUCUGCCUCAGCCUCCCAGAGUGCUGGGAUUAUAGGCAUUUGCCACCGUGCCUGGUGUACCCAGUUUCUGUUAUCAACAGAAUGCAGUGGUGUAUGGUUGCUAAAGGGUCCCAAGAUCAGGACCUACGUUAAGGUGGAUUUUGAAUUAUUUAAAAUUCUGAUUUUGUUUUAUUUUUAAUUAAUCUUUGGGGGAAGGAUGGGAGGGGGGUGAGGGUUGAAGAAGUAAACAUUGUACCUAUUGGAUACAAUGUUUAAUAUUUGUGUGAUGGGCACACUGGAAGCCCAAACCUCACUAUUACACAAUACAUUCAUGUAACAAGCCUGCACAUGCACCUCCUGAAUCUAUUUUUAAAAAUUUAAUUCUCUAGCACAGACUCCCUUUUUUUGGUAAGAUGGCGGGGUACGACUUAACUACUCGCAUCACGCACCUUUUGGAUCGGCAUCUAGUCUUUCCGCUCCUUGAGUUUCUCUCUGUAAAGGAGAUAUAUAAAGAAAAGGAAUUAUUACAAGGUAAAUUGGACCUUCUUAGUGAUGCCAACAUGGUAGACUUUGCUAUGGAUGCAUACAAAAACCUUUAUUCUGAUGAUAUUCCUCAUGCUUUGAAAGAGAAUAGAACCACAGUUGUUGCACAACUGAAACAGCUUCAGGCAGAAACAGAACUAAUUGUGAAAAUGUUUGAAGAUCCAGAAACGACAAGGCAAAUGCGGUCAACCAGGGAUGGUAGGAUGCUCUUUGACUACCUGGCGGACAAGCAUGGUUUUAGGCAGGAGUAUUUAGAUACAUUCUACACAUAUGCAAAAUUCCAGUAUGAAUGUGGGAAUUACUCAGGAGCAGCAGAAUAUCUUUAUUUUUUCAGAGUGUUGGUUCCAGCAACAGACAGAAAUGCUGUAAGUUCACUCUGGGGAAAGCUGGCCUCUGAAAUCUUAAAGCAGAAUUGGGAUGCAGACAUGGAAGACCUUACAUGGUUAAAAGAGACCAUAGAUAAUAAUUCUGUGAGUUCUCCACUCCAGUCUCUUCAGCAGAGAGCAUGGCUCGUUCACUGGUCUCUGUUUUCUUCAAUCACCCCAAAGGUUGUGAUAAUAUUGUUGAUCUCUUCCUUUACCAGCCACAGCAUCUUAAUGUGUCCACACAUUCUUCACUAUUUGACUACAGCAGUCAUAGCAAACAAGGAUGUUCGAAAACGUUGGCAGGUGCUAAAAGAUCUAGGUAAAGUUACUCAACAGGAGUCUUACACAUAUAAAGACCCAAUUACAGAAUUUGUUGAAUGCUUAUAGAUUAACUUUGACUUAGAUGGGGCUAAGAAAAAGCUGAGAGAAUGUGAAUCAGUGCUUGUGAACGACUUCUUGGUGGCUUGUCUUAAGGAUUUCAUUGACAAUGCCCAUCUCUUCAUAUUUGAGACUUUCUGUCACAUCCACCAGUGUAUCAGCAUUAACAUGUUGGCAGACAAAUUGAACAUGACUCCAGAUGAAACUGAAAGGUGGAUUGUAAAUGUGAUUAGAAAUGCAAGACUGGAUGCCAAGAUUGAUUCUAAAUUAGGUCAUGUGGUUAUGGUAACAAUGUACUCUCACCCUAUCAGCAAGUGAUUGAAAAGACCAAAAGCCUUUCUUUUAGAAGCUAGAUUUUGGCCAUGAAUAUUGAGAAGAAACUUAAUGACAAUAGCAGGUCAGAGGCUCCUAACUGGGCAACUCAAGAUUCUGGCUUCUACUGAAGAAACAUAAGGAAAAGAUUUUAAAAAAACUCUAAAAGAAAGAUGAAAUAAUAAAACUAUUAUAUAAAGGGUGACUUACAUUUUGGAAACAACAUAUUGAGUGUAAAUUGUGAAGAAUUGGAAUAAAAUUGACUGAUUCAAAAAAAUUUAAUUCACAAAAAAAUUUUAAUCCUUUUAAGCUAAUUAUAGAUUCACAUGUAGUUGUAAGAAGUUACAAAGAGGCUAGGUGCAGUAGCUGACGCCCAUGAUCCCCGCACUUUGGGAGGCCGAGGCAGGCAGAUCUCUUGAGGCCAGGAGUUUGAGACUAGCCUGGCCAACAUGGCAAAACCCCAUCUCUACAAAAAAUUAGCAAAGCAUGGUGGCACAUGCCUGUAAUUACAGCUACUUGGGAGGCUGAGGCAUGAGAAUCACUUGACCUGGGAUUACAAGUGUAAUCCCAGCCAUAGGCUGGGUGCAGUGGCUCACACCUGUAAUCCCAGCACUUUGGGAGGCCAAGGUACGGGUGGAUCACCUGAGGUCAAGAGUUCAAGACCAGCCUGGCCAACAUGGUGAAACCCCGUCUCUACAAAAACACAAAAAUUAGCCGGGCAUGAUGGUGCGCACCUGUAAUCCCAGCUACUCAGGAGGCUGAGGCAGGAGAAUCGCAUGAACCCAGGAGGCAGAUGUUGCAGUGAGCCAAGAUCACGCCAUUGCACUCCAGCCUGGGCAACAGAGUGAGACUCCACCUCAAAAAAAAAAAAACAAAAAAAAACCACCAGCCAUUUGGGAAGCCAAGGCAGGAUUGCUUGAGACCAACCAGAAGUUCAAGGUUGCCUGGGCAACAGAGCAAGACUGUCUCGAGACAAAACAAAAAGUCAGCAUCUUCUGCCCACUUUUACUUUAACAUACAUUUAUGGAUCUAUUGUCUCUUUCCCUGUUCUAAAACUUUAAAUUUCACAAGAAUGAAGAUUUUGCUGUCUUGUUUCCUGCUGUGUCCCCAGCAUAAACAGCAUAAAGAAGUGCCAUAAGAUAGAAAUUUUUGUUUUCUGUUCACCAGUAUAUCCACAGCACCUAGAACAGCAUCUGCUUUAGACUUAUUAGAUGAAGACUUAAAAAAAAAAGGAACAGCACUUCUGCACAUAUUUAGCACUUGAUACAUAUUUGUGGAAUAAUUUCUAUCAUAACUAGCAGCUACUUCCUAAUUUGAUAUGUAGCAUCCCGUAUUAACAGGACUUUUGUGAAUGGAGAGGACAUCUAUUUAUUCUUUGUUAUGUGCCAAAUAUAUUUGUAUUAAUCAUAACUCUUAAUAUUCCUUUAAAAUUAAAUAAUUGUUUCCACAGCUCUUAAAAUAGAAUUUAGGAACCUAGCAACAUGCCACUCAUCCAUUAACAGUGAUAAAUUAUUUAAUUUUAUAAACUUUUCAUUAAAGUAACUGAUAUAGUUUGGA